GCUAGAGUGUGCCCCAGAAUGGGGAUUAAGCUAGUUAGGUUGGGUAAUGCUACCCUAGGCGACGAUUCUAGCCUGUUCUGAGAGGAUGACCCAGCACACUGAAACUGAGAACACCGUCCAGACUCCCUACGGGAGGGCAGCAGUGGGGAAUAUUGCACCAUGGGCGGCAGCCUGAUGCAGCCAUGCCGCGUGAUUGAGAAGGCCUUUCGGGUUGUAAAGCACUUUCAGCGAGGAGGAAGGUGGUGAGCUUAAUAACGCUCAUCAAUUGACGUUACUCGCAGAAGAAGCACCGGGCUAACUCCGUGCCAGCAGCCGCGGUAAUACGGAGGGUGCUAGCGUUAAUCGGAAUUACUGGGCGUAAAGCGCACGCAGGCGGUCUGUCAAGUCAGAUGUGAAAUCCCCGGGCUCAACCUGGGAACUGCAUUUGAAACUGGCAAGCUAGAGUCUCGUAGAGGGGGGUAGAAUUCCAGGUGUAGCGGUGAAAUGCGUAGAGAUCUGGAGGAAUACCGGUGGCGAAGGCGGCCCCCUGGACGAAGACUGACGCUCAGGUGCGAAGCGUGGGGAGCAAACAGGAUUAGAUACCCUGGUAGUCCACGCUGUAAACGAUGUCGAUUUGGAGGUUGUUCCCUUGAGGAGUGGCUUCCGGAGCUAACGCGUUAAAUCGACCGCCUGGGGAGUACGGCCGCAAGGUUAAAACUCAAAUGAAUUGACGGGGGCCCGCACAAGCGGUGGAGCAUGUGGUUUAAUUCGAUGCAACGCGAAGAACCUUACCUACUCUUGACAUCCAGAGAACUUAGCAGAGAUGGUUUGGUGCCUUCGGGAACUCUGAGACAGGUGCUGCAUGGCUGUCGUCAGCUCGUGUUGUGAAAUGUUGGGUUAAGUCCCGCAACGAGCGCAACCCUUAUCCUUUGUUGCCAGCGGUUCGGCCGGGAACUCAAAGGAGACUGCCAGUGAUAAACUGGAGGAAGGUGGGGAUGACGUCAAGUCAUCAUGGCCCUUACGAGUAGGGCUACACACGUGCUACAAUGGCGCAUACAAAGAGAAGCGACCUCGCGAGAGCAAGCGGACCUCAUAAAGUACGUCGUAGUCCGGAUUGGAGUCUGCAACUCGACUCCAUGAAGUCGGAAUCGCUAGUAAUCGUAGAUCAGAAUGCUACGGUGAAUACGUUCCCUGGCCUUGUACACUCCGCCCGUCACACCAUGGGAGUGGGUUGCAAAAGAAGUAGUAAGCUUAAUCUCGCGAGGGCUGCAUAGCACUC
rnacentral:rRNA from 1 species